GAAAUGCGAUAAGUAAUGUGAAUUGCAGAAUUCAGUGAAUCAUCGAAUCUUUGAACGCACCUUGCGCUCCUUGGUAUUCCUUGGAGCAUGUCUGUUUGAGUAUCAUGAAAUCUUCAAAGUAAAUCUUUUGUUAACUCAAUUGGUUUCUACUUUGGUAUUGGAGGUCUUUGCAGCUUCACACCUGCUCCUCUUUGUUCAUUAGCUGGAUCUCAGUGUUAUGCUUGGUGCCACUCGGCGUGAUAAGUUAUCUAUCGCUGAGGACACUGUAAAAGGUGGCCAAGGUAAAUGCAGAUGAACCGCUUCUAAUAGUCCAUUGACUUGGACAAUACUUUUAUGAUCUGAUCUCAAAUCAGGUAGGACUACCCGCUGAACUUAAGC
rnacentral:misc_RNA from 1 species